rnacentral:rRNA from 1 species
AUUGAACGCUGGCGGCAGGCCUAACACAUGCAAGUCGAACGAGUGGUGGACGGGUGAGUAAUGUCUGGGAAACUGCCUGAUGGAGGGGGAUAACUACUGGAAACGGUAGCUAAUACCGCAUACCAUCAGAUGUGCCCAGAUGGGAUUAGCUAGUUGGUGGGGUAACGGCUCACCAAGGCGACGAUCCCUAGCUGGUCUGAGAGGAUGACCAGCAACAAUGGAAAUGAUACAAGGUCCAGACGACUACGGGAGUCAUCAGUGUGGAAUAUGGCACAAGGGGCGCAAGCCUGAUUCAGCCAUGCCGCGUGUAUGAAGAAGGGUAUCGGGUUGUAAAGGACUUGCAGCGGGGAGGCGUUACCCGCAGAAGAAGCACCGGCUAACUCCGGGCCAGCAGCCGCGGUAAUAC